UACGUAGGGGGCUAGCGUUGUCCGGAAUCAUUGGGCGUAAAGAGCGCGUAGGCGGCCAGAUAAGUCCGGUGUGAAAGUCACAGGCUCAACCUGUGAAUGCCGCUGGAAACUGUCUGGCUAGAGUCCGGGAGGGGCGAGUGGAAUUCCUGGUGUAGCGGUGAAAUGCGCAGAUAUCAGGAGGAACACCAAUGGCGAAGGCAGCUCGCUGGAACGGUACUGACGCUGAGACACGAAAGCCAGGGGAGCGAACGGG
rnacentral:rRNA from 1 species